AUUAAGAGCAUAGGGCGAAUGCCUUGGCACCAAGAGCCGAUGAAGGACGGGAUAAGCACCGAUAUGCUUCGGGGAGUCGCAAAUAGACUAAGAUCCGGAGAUUUCCGAAUGGGGGAACCCGCUUAAGAAGACCUUAAGCAUCAUACACUGAAUCCAUAGGUGUAUGAAGGAAGACCAGAUCAUACACUGAAUCCAUAGGUGUAUGAAGGAAGACCAGGGGAACUGAAACAUCUAAGUACCCUGAGGAAGAGAAAGAAAAAUUCGAUUUCCUAAGUAGCGGCGAGCGAACGGGAAAGAGCCCAAACCAGAUUUAUCUGGGGUUAAGGACAGAACAAAGGAUAUAUGGUUAGUAGAGGAAGAAAGCUGGAAAGCUUCACCAAAGAAGGUGAUAGUCCUGUACUCGAAACUAAACAUAUACAGGUUCUGAAUCCAGAGUACCACGGGACACGUGAAAUCCUGUGGGAAGUCGGGAGGCCCACCUCCCAAGGCUAAAUACUCCUUGGUGACCGAUAGUGAAGUAGUACCGUGAGGGAAAGGUGAAAAGAACCCCGGGAGGGGAGUGAAAUAGAACCUGAAACCCNNNNNNNNNNNNNNNAGUACCGUGAGGGAAAGGUGAAAAGAACCCCGGGAGGGGAGUGAAAUAGAACCUGAAACCCUAUGCUUACAAGCAGUGGGAGCACAAUAUUAGUGUGACCGCGUACUUUUUGUAGAACGGGCCAGCGAGUUAUGGUAGUCAGCGAGGUUAAGUGAUUAAGUCACGAAGCCGUAGGGAAACCGAGUCUUAAUAGGGCGAAUGAGUUGGCUGCCAUAGACCCGAAACCGUGUGAGCUAUCCAUGGGCAGAGUGAAGUUGAAGUAAAAUUCAAUGGAGGCUCGAACCCGUUAGCGUUUAAAAGCUAUGGGAUGACCUGUGGAUAGGGGUGAAAAGCCAAACGAACACGGUGAUAGCUGGUUCUCCUCGAAAUAGCUUUAGGGCUAGCCUCGAGGAAGUGAUAUGGAGGUAGAGCACUGACUGGUCUAGGGGCACAUAGUGUUACCAAAACCUAUCAAACUCCGAAUACCAUAAUCAUGAUCCUCGGGAGUCAGACAUAGUGGGAUAAGCUUCUAUGUCGAAAGGGAAAGAACCCAGACCACCAGCUAAGGUCCCUAAAUCCAGAUUAAGUGUAAAAGGAUGUGGGGUUUCACAAACAACCAGGAUGUUGGCUUAGAAGCAGCCAUACAUUUAAAGAGUGCGUAAUAGCUCACUGGUCGAGAGACCCUGCGCCGAAGAUUUCCGGGGCUUAAAUUUGGUACCGAAGCUGUGGGAUUUGGAGGUAGGAAGUGAGAAGUUAGAAGUGGGAGAAGAAGAGAAGGUGAUCAUAUGAUAAAAAGCUACGAAGAUUUAGAAGUCUAUCAGCAAUCAUAUGAACUUUAUAUAGAAAUAUAUAAAGCAACAUUAAAUCUUCCUAGAUAUGAAACAUACGAAAUUGUGAAUCAACUGAGAAGAGCAGCCUUAUCAAUAGUGCUAAACAUAGCAGAAGGAUAUGGCAAACAAUCAGUAGCAGAUUUCAAAAGAUUUCUGAGCAUAAGCAUUGGUUCAUGUAAUGAAGUAUGUGUAACUUGGAGAUAAAAUCCAACAUCUGACAUCUGACUUCUUACCUCCAGAUCGGUAGAGGAGCAUUGUGUGUUGGGUAGAAGGUGUACCGAAAGGAGCGCUGGACUACACACAAGAGAGAAUGCUGGCAUGAGUAGCGAAAGGUAAGUGAGAAUCUUACCCGUCGAAAGCCUAAGGUUUCCUGAGGAAGGCUCGUCCACUCAGGGUAAGUCGGGACCUAAGCCCAGGCCGCAAGGCGUAGGCGAUGGACAACAGGUUAUAAUUCCUGUACUAGUUACAAGCGUUUGAGAGAAGGGGUGACGCAGGAGGAUAGGUUGAGCGCGGGGUUGGAAAACCGCGUCCAAGCAAGUAGGCAGAGGAGAUAGGCAAAUCCGUUUCCUUAUUAAUGUCGAGAUGCGAUGGGGAUCGAAAAACAAGUAGAGAAGCAACCGACUCCACACUGCCAAGAAAAGCCUCUAUCGAGCAAGUAACUACCCGUACCGCAAACCGACACAGGUAGGCGAGGAGAGAAUCCUAAGACGAGCGGAAGAACCUUUGUUAAGGAACUCGGCAAAAUGACCCCGUAACUUCGGGAGAAGGGGUGCCAGAGAAGGAUAGAUUGAACAAUCGAAAGAUCAUCUGGCCGCAGUGAAUAGGCCCAAGCGACUGUUUACCAAAAACAUAAGUCUCUGCUAAGUCGAAAGACGAAGUAUAGGGGCUGACACCUGCCCGGUGCUGGAAGGUUAAGGGGAAGGCUUAGCGUAAGCGAAGGCUAGAACUUAAGCCCCAGUAAACGGCGGCCGUAACUAUAACGGUCCUAAGGUAGCGAAAUUCCUUGUCGGGUAAGUUCCGACC
rnacentral:rRNA from 1 species